AUUAAUUUUUGAAGAGAAGAAGUGGUUUUGUGUAGGCUACUUUAUCUCAUUUUUUAAUUGACUGAAUUUUUUUUCUCUGUUAGACUGAAGAAUAUUCUAUAUAAUUUUCAUCAAUGAGUUACGAUAAUUUUCUGUAAAAAACUUUCACAAUAAGUUUUGUUCCAUGAGCAGGUGGCUCCAAAUCCUUCAUCAUUAACUCUGGUACCCUGCUUCCUUUCCCUCAAUUCAUUCCUAUGGCUUCUUGGGAAAUUCCUUAGAAGCAAUUGACUGAGAAAGUAGAGACUCAAGCCUGGUUUACAAAUGGUUCUGCAUAGUAUGCUGGUAACACUUGAAAGUCAGUAGGUAAAGCACUACCAGGCCACUCAAAGUCCUCUCUGAGAAUUGGAGGUGGCCCCUUUUCCCUCUGAGCCUCUACACAGCACCAGCCUUCAACCUGGAUGCCCAGAAGCUCUAAGACCUACUCUGGGUCUUCAGUGUUCUCAGGAGGCAUGGGAGGCAAGAGGUUUUUCCAGAGGCUUUGUAGGCAGAGCUCAUAGGCCCCUGAGAAAUUAUCCAGAGAGAAAGGAAAAGAGGCAGACUUGUAUGCUUACGAGGACACACGGGGUGAGGACACACGGGGUUCCCUCUAAGGACUUCCACAAAUAACUGGAGGCCCUUGAAGAAAAGACAGAUGCUCCAUCACUAACACAGAAGAAAGUUUUCAAUGCAAUGGCUGCCAACUGCAUCAUUAUUUCACAGAGCCAUGUCACUGCCCAAUAACUAUUUCCUAUGAUCUCUUGAUUGAGAUGUCUCACACCAUUCAUGCAGCUGGGCCACUCCCUCUCCUAAUUAAAUACAUACAUGUUCUCAGCAUCUUUCACAAUUCCAGGAUAGCUUUACUUCUAAAACCGACAAAGAUUGAAAAAAGGAAAAAUAAAAACAAAAAAACACAGAUAUUUUUCCCCUAGUACUGGUGAAGGUAUUUGGCAAUGAGAUGGAAAUAUAAACUGGAAUAAUGUUUCCAAAGAAUAAUUUAACCAUCAAAUCAAAAGCCUCAAGAGUGUGCCAGACAUUGGCCCUGUAACUUCAUUUAUGGGAAAUGUCUUAAGACAGACUUACAAAGAUUGUCAUCACAGCCUUGUUUGUAAUGAAAGACUCGGAAUCCACCUAACUUCCCACAAGCAAAAACUGGACAUUCCUGACAGGGAAACUUUGGAACCACUCAAUAUGAUGAAGAAUAUCCAACAAUUUGUUGCAUGGAACAAUGUCAUGUAGAAUGUUAAGAAAGGAAAAACAAGUUAAAGAGUAUUCAAUUUCAUAUUUAUAAAGAUAUGUAUAUAUGAGUAAUAAUAUAAACAUCCUCACUGGAAUAACACAUUCUGAAUAUCAAUUUGCCUUGUGAGCAGCACCAUGCAUAGACUUACAGAAUUCUUAUCCAUCAGCAUGGUAUUCUGCACAAUAAUGCUUCUGAUCUGCAACUUACUUCACAGCAAUAAGUACAGCAAUGGGCUUAUAUGCAUAGAAUUAACUGGUCUUAUCACAUUACCUGGAAGUAGAUGGCCUAAUUGCGCAGUGGGAUGGUUUACUAGGGACUCAGUUAUGGUACCAGUUUGAGCAGAAUGCUCAAAGAGAAUGACAUUCUGUAUUACAAGAUGUAGCAUAUUUUUUUGAAUUGGAGAUCACUAUAUGAUGUUUUCUCCCUCCAGAGGCAGAAUACUCGAGUCUAAGGAUCAAGGUGUAGAAGGUGGUCCAUCUCCUUUCAAAAUUAUUCCUAAUAGCCAACUUGCAAAAGCAUUGCUUUUUGUCCAAGAGAUCUACUGGUUUUGAGGUCUUGUUUCCUAAAGGGUGAGAAUUCACUGCAUUGGAAAAUGAGACUGCCAUCUGGACAUUUUGAUCUUUUUAUGCCAAGAGAGAGAAAAUGAAAUUACUCUGCCUGGUGGAGGAAUUGAUUCUUAUUAUUGAGGAAAAAAUCCAUUGCUGCUACCAACGGAGGUCUUGCAUAGAACAACUAGACAGAAGAUCACUAAGAAAAUUGGAGGCUUGGACAAUACUACAAACCAACUAGGUGUAAUAAACAUCUAUAGAACACUCGCCCAACAUACUCUUCUCAAGCGUGCACGGAGCAGUCUGCAGGAAAGGUAAUGUUGUUUCAUGAACAAGAAAGACUCAACACAUUUUGAAGGACUGAAAUCAUACUUUUAAAAAAUUGAAAUCAUAUAUAGUAUGUUUUCUGAUCACACUGGCUUAAAAUUAAAAGUCAAUAACAAAAGGAGGUUUUGAAAAUGUAUAUGUAUGUGGAAACUAUAAAAGAUGCUCCUAAAUAAUAAAUGGGUCAAAGAAGAAAUUAUGACUUAUGUCUUUUAAGUAUUUUAGCCAUUGCGAGUUAUUUUUGUACAUAAUAUAAGGGUCUAAUUUCAAAUUUUUUUGCAAGUGAAUAUCCAGUUUUCUCAACACCGUUUUUUGAAAAGACUGUCUUGUCCCACAAUUGGAAUUAGAAAAUACUUUGAGAUGAAUGAAAAUGAAAAGAAACAACAUAAUGGAACUUAAAAAAUUCAGCAAAGGCAGUGUUCAUAGGAAAAUUUUUGGCUGUAAACAUCUACACUAAAAAAGAAGGAUCUAAAAUCAACAACCUAAUUUUCCAUCUUAAGAAACUAGAAGCCCAGAUGAGAUGGUUCACACCUGUAUUCCCAGCACUUUGGGAGGCCAAAGCCGGAGGUUCACUUGAAGCCUGGAUUUCAAGACCAGCCUAGACAACAUAGUGAGGUCCAGUCUCUACAAACAAAAUUAAAAAAAAAAAAAUAGCAAGUGUGGUGGUGUAUGCCUGUAGUCCUAGCUGCUCAGGAGGCUGAAGUGGGAGGAUCACUUGAGCCCAGGAGGUGGAGGUUGCAGUGAGCUAUGAUCAUGCCAUUGCCCUCCAGCCUGGGUGACUGAGCACAACCCUGUCUCUAUAGUAACAAAAAAGGAAAGAAAGAAAUUAGAAAAAUAUAAGCAAAC
rnacentral:lncRNA from 1 species